rnacentral:misc_RNA from 1 species
GAUGAAGAACGUAGCGAAAUGCGAUACUUGGUGUGAAUUGCAGAAUCCCGUGAACCAUCGAGUCUUUGAACGCAAGUUGCGCCCGAAGCCAUUAGGCCGAGGGCACGCCUGCCUGGGCGUCACACAUCGUUGCCCCCCCAUCUACUCCUUCGGGAUCGCGGGGGGCGGAUGAUGGCCUCCCGUGCGCCUCGUCGCGCGGUUGGCAUAAAUGCCAAGUCCUCGGCGACGCACGCCACGACAAUCGGUGGUUGCGAAACCUCGGUUGCCCGUCGUGUGCGGUCGUCGCGCAUCGAGGGCUCGAAAAAAUUGCCGGGCUCCGGCUCGGCUUUCAACGCGACCCCAGGUCAGGCGGGGUUACCCGCUGAAUUUAAGCAUAUCAAUAAGCGGAGGA